CACGCCUUCUGCAGGCGGCCGCUAAAGGGGCUACGUCAUCACGCUCGCCAAAGCGUAGGGGUGGGACUUCCUCUCUGGGGCUAGCACCGCUUCCGCCGGAAAUAGGAUCUUCCUUUCCUGUAGUUCGAAACCGUUGGCGGCUGCGCGGAAUGUCUUAUGGAAUCGGCUCUCUUUCGGACGGUUUUCCGUUCCUUUGUUGGAUGUGCGGAGAAGGCCGGGGAACGCGAGCGGGGUCGGAGGGAGAGCGGAUGUCAGGGGACUUUUCACUUAUAGCCAACAGAGGAAAUACCUGCUGUCUGGGGGCUUAUUCUCAGAUAAUGAGUUCAUCUGCUACUUGGAUAUAGUGCAUUGAUUGAGCAGCUAUUAAUUGGAAUGAAGGGUCCUCAAACUACGGCCCGCUGAGGACGUUUAUGCAGCCCGCUGGGUUAUGGCAAAAUCAGACUGGAAAUGAUGUUCGACCUAAACUUGCAUUAGCAACGCAUACUUCCAGCACUGGGCUGAGGCUCUGAGACAGAGUGUGAGGCAAUAGCGAGGUGAGGAUGAUGAUGUC